rnacentral:lncRNA from 1 species
CAAGAGGCCAAUGGGAAAAGAUGCUAGUCAAAGAACAAGGAGAAUAACUCAAGGAGGAUUAAUGAAAGGACUGUUUACAAAAGGUGUGGGCGGACAGAGGAACAACAAGGAAUGGUUCAGUAUGCGAGGGCCAGUAAUAGUGAAACUGUUACCACCUCGGACCAAAAGGGAGAGAGUGAAGGAGCGGUGACGGGAACUCGGAGAGCCUGGAGGGUACUCUUCAAAUGAAGAGUUAUUUUAAAACCAAAGUAACAGCCUGAUGGAUGGAUGCCUGUACAGACAGCUCAUCUUCACUUCUGAGCCUCAGCAGGACUUAGCUGGGCUUCUGGAGUACUGAGCUGAGCCUGCAGCUGUGCAGCCUGGAGCAGCUCUCCCAAUCCAAGAGUGGGAGGUCUGUGGGACCACAGAUUUCACCAGCUGACUGCAGAAAAGCCCUGAGUUCAUCUCAACACCUGUCUUCAUCUCAACACCUGUGUUCUGAGUUGUCCAAGCCCUGGGAACCUGGGUCCUAGUGCUUAAUGAUUAUCUGUCAGAAGGAUGGAUGAAUAGAUCGAUGGAGAAACUAAGGAGCAAAGCAAUCAGUGAUUUGUUCCAGCCCACUCCGGAAGAGGGCUGCUCAGUCAGGGUAGAAACCUAGUUUCCAGGGCUGUUUUCCAAUUCACAAAUCUGCUACGUCUAUGCAGUAAAUAUUGCUCUAAGGAUACAGGAAAUCCAUUAGCCCUUAUUAUCCAUUGAGCCAGCAGGAUACUUACUAAGCUUGUGGAGAAGCCAGUGAACGCUACAGGCUUGGCCUGCCCCAGAGAGCUGACCUUCUGGGGACCUGAGCAUCUGAGGAACAAAGCCUUUAUAACCCAGGAACUGUGUGGUGCUGCUUCGAAGGUUUAGCAUUUGCUGGAAAAGAAUAAGGAUAUGUUGGUCUACAUUCGUUAUUCAGGGUCAAGUAUCAAAACAAAAUCCCAUAUUAGGCUUUGGCAUAACCCGAAUUUGAAUUAUGGGAGAUAAAUGAUCUUGGCAUUAUACUGGAGUUUUUGGGCGGAAAAAGUACUAUAAAAGGAGACUCUAAGGCAUUGUGUAAUACUAAAAACCACUAGUUGAAAAUUAAAACAUUUUAAAGUUCAUAAUAAAAGAUAGUUGCUAUUUCUCUGUAUUCUUUGAAUGGAGUUUAGCCAAAGAUAUAUGUUAUUAGUCAUUUCAGUCAAAGAAACUGCACCAGUUGCUCAUUUGUGCAGUGAUUAUGUACAGGUUGCAAGUAGGGAUGGCAUUUGUCUGACGGUCUCCCAGCCUGAUUGUUGUUGGUAGUCCUCAUCCUUUCCCCCAGUUCCUGGGAGCUACAGAUCCUCUCACUUCUGGGUCAACCACACUCACAUCGGCUCUGAGAAGAUGCCGCAGCCUCUCCCUGUGAGCCCCUGCUUGACCAACUUUGCUAUUAGCAGAUACUUUCUUACUAGGUUUCCUUUGAAGAUCUAGGCCCAUUUUUUGCUCUCUGUUCAGAAGUUAUAAUAUGCACUUCUUUGGCUCCACUACAUAAAACCGCUUUGUCCCAAGCCAGCCCACACUCUGCCAAAGAAGGAUUUCCUAAUUUAGGAAAUCAGAUCCACUCAACAAAUU